ACUGCAGGACCGUUCACUUAGUGAUGUUCUUUUGAUCAAUUUCCUUUGUAAUCAAGUCACUUUAAAAAAAAGACUUUGCUUUUUGUGGAUAGAAAUUAAUGUGGUUAGAAACCAACUUCACUUACAAUUAAGUAGACUGUAGCUGUAAAAAAAAAACACAAAAAAACCCAAACAUAUAAUGACGACCCAACCAUGUUAAGUUUUUCUGUAUUCUCAGGCCUCACAAAAAUCUCAGCCCAGGAUCUGGAUCUGAGCCUCUGGUCUCUGUCUCUCCCUGUUACAGGGGAGAUUAGCCAUCAGUUUGUUACAAGGGAGAGUCACAGACAGACAGGCACCAGAGAUGCGUUGGCUCUGAUGCCCACCUUCUCGCAGUGGUUUCAGAAAGGCUGAGAGAUGGAUGGAAAGGUAAGAAGGCCAUUGGGUGUCUACCAUAGACCACGGGCAGCUGUGUGGUGGACAGCGAUCUUUAAUGUUGCAUCAGAGGAGCCCCAAGAGUAUCCACAGACCUUAUACGAUCACUGGGUGGCUGGUGCCACGCAGCUUGGAACAGAAAGGACCACAGGUAAAGGACAGGCACCUGCCCUCCAAGGGCAGUGGCUGCUAGGGGAUGAGAGAAGCACGUGGGCUGGGCCGCGCCUGCUCUGAAACCAGGUGCCAUAAGUUCAGUCGCCUCACUGGGCGGCUGUCCCCCGGUCCUUUUGGUUUUCAGGAAGGGUGUCACCAGCCUCUAGGGCCAUCCAAAGCGACAGGUGGUUACCUGCCUGGAGCAAAGGAGGAAGACCAGGGCCCUUUCCUAACUUGGUGAGGUCAAAUUAGGCUCUUUUUAAGGGAGCCUCCAUCCCUGAUGAGCACACCCCUCAGGUGGGAGGAUUGACUUGGAGGCUCUGAGCUGCUGAGGCCAGCUGGGGAAGUGGGCGAAGAGACUCCUGAGGACUUGGCGCUCCUGUGUUCAGACCCAGGCCUUCUCUACCGGAACCUGAGACUUGGUGGGUUCCUUCUCCAUGUGAGUGUGUCACGAGACUCUCCUCCAGGCCGGGCUGAUUGGUUCUAGUCUGCAGGGCAGUUUUAUUUGCCCCAUGAAGUCUUUUAAUUUUUUCCCCACUGUUUAAAAAUAGGGAGAUCAUAUUAAAAAUUCUAUGCUUCUAACGGCUUUCUAAAAAUUGCAAGUUCUGGCCACAUGGAGCCCACAUUCCCACAGAACAACAGUUAGAUAGGGUUUGAGUUACCCAGAGUUCCACAGCCUGCACCACUCCCUGUUGCCAUCCUCAUGCUGAGGCUGAGGACGUUGAGAAGCCAGAAUUCUGACGCCUGGCCGGGGGUGUUCAUUUCCACUCCCUUCACGGUACCAGC
rnacentral:lncRNA from 1 species